rnacentral:rRNA from 1 species
ACAGCAGUAGCCGCGGUAAUACGUAGGGUGCGAGCGUUAAUCGGAAUUACUGGGCGUAAAGCGUGCGCAGGCGGUUAUAUAAGACAGAUGUGAAAUCCCCGGGCUCAACCUGGGACCUGCAUUUGUGACUGUAUAGCUAGAGUACGGUAGAGGGGGAUGGAAUUCCGCGUGUAGCAGUGAAAUGCGUAGAUAUGCGGAGGAACACCGAUGGCGAAGGCAAUCCCCUGGACCUGUACUGACGCUCAUGCACAAAAGCGUGGGGAGCAAACAGGAUUAGAUACCCGCGUAGUCCCUGUCUCUUAUAC